UCGAGAAUCUUCGGCAAUGGGCGCAAGCCUGACCGAGCGACGCCGCGUGGAGGACGAAGGCCUUCGGGUUGUAAACUCCUGUCGAGGGGGAAGAAGCCGCAACCGGUUGACUGAUCCCUGGAGGAAGCACGGGCUAAGUUCGUGCCAGCAGCCGCGGUAAGACGAACCGUGCGAACGUUAUUCGGAAUCACUGGGCUUAAAGCGCGUGUAGGCGGGGCGGAACGUCGGUCGCUGAAAUCCCCCGGCUUAACCGGGGAACGGGCGCCGAAACGACCGGCCUGGAGGAACGUAGGGGGAGCUGGAACUUCCGGUGGAGCGGUGAAAUGCGUUGAGAUCGGAAGGAACGCCCGUGGCGAAAGCGAGCUCCUGGACGUUUUCUGACGCUGAGACGCGAAAGCCAGGGGAGCGAACGGGAUUAGAUACCCCCGUAGUCC
rnacentral:rRNA from 1 species